UACGUAGGGUGCGAGCGUUGUCCGGAAUUAUUGGGCGUAAAGAGCUUGUAGGCGGUUUGUCGCGUCUGCUGUGAAAAUCCGGGGCUCAACCCCGGACUUGCAGUGGGUACGGGCAGACUAGAGUGUGGUAGGGGAGACUGGAAUUCCUGGUGUAGCGGUGAAAUGCGCAGAUAUCAGGAGGAACACCGAUGGCGAAGGCAGGUCUCUGGGCCACUACUGACGCUGAGAAGCGAGAGCAUGGGGAGCGAACAGG
rnacentral:rRNA from 1 species